GACGAACGCUGGCGGCGUGCCUAAUACAUGCAAGUAGAACGCUGAAGAGAGGAGCUUGCUCUUCUUGGAUGAGUUGCGAACGGGUGAGUAACGCGUAGGUAACCUGCCUUGUAGCGGGGGAUAACUAUUGGAAACGAUAGCUAAUACCGCAUAACAAUGGAUGACACAUGUCAUUUAUUUGAAAGGGGCAAUUGCUCCACUACAAGAUGGACCUGCGUUGUAUUAGCUAGUAGGUGAGGUAAUGGCUCACCUAGGCGACGAUACAUAGCCGACCUGAGAGGGGGAUAGGCCAAGCUGGGACUUAGACACGGCCCAGACUCCUACGGGAGGCAGCAGUAGGGAAGCUUCGGCAAUGGGGGCAACCCUGACCGAGCAACGCCGCGUGAGUGAAGAAGGUUUUCGGAUCGUAAAGCUCUGUUGUAAGUCAAGAACGGGUGUGAGAGUGGAAAGUUCACACUGUGACGGUAGCUUACCAGAAAGGGACGGCUAACUACGUG
rnacentral:rRNA from 1 species